rnacentral:rRNA from 1 species
UACGUAGGGACCAAGCGUUGUUCGGAUUUACGUGGGCGUAAAGGGCGCGUAGGCGGCGUGGUAAGUCACUUGUGAAAUCUCUGAGCUUAACUCAGAACGGCCAAGUGAUACUGCUGUGCUAGAGUGCAGAAGGGGCAAUCGGAAUUCUUGGUGUAGCGGUGAAAUGCGUAGAUAUCAAGAGGAACACCUGAGGUGAAGACGGGUUGCUGGGCUGACACUGACGGCUGAUGCGCGAAAGCCAGGGGAGCAAACGGG